rnacentral:lncRNA from 1 species
GGCAAGUAUGGCAUAAUAAGAGUCAUCAAUGAAGGUUUAAGGAUAUAUAAAAUACUGGUAGAGGUCACUAGAAAGUGGAUGAUUGUGAUAGUAUCAAUUUAGGAUCCUUUAUCGGGGUGAACUUGGGUUCCAUAGGACAGAAGUUUAGAGCCCUCUGCCAAGUCUGUUGAUGCAUGUAGAGAGAGAAAGAGAGAGAGAAGAGAGGAAAGAGAGAAUCAUAAAAUAUUUUUUUUCUCAAAAUAUAAGAAGAUAGGGGAAGGUGGGCCCAGA